CUGCCAGUAGUCAUAUGCUUCGUUCAAGGACUAAGCCAUGCAUGUCUCAGCGUACAUGGCAUCCAACAGUGGGUCUGUGAAUGGCUCCUUACAUCAGCAGUCAUCUCCAUGAUAGAGUGUGGAUGGCACCACUCUUGCCAGGUGCCCCCUUGGACAUCCUCCAAAACCUAGUGGCUAAUACACGGUUGCCCCGGUCUCUCACAGCACGGUCCUGUCAGUAGUCCAUCUCCACCUCUGCCUGACCGGCGAGUGGAUGGCACCCAGCCGCUAUGAAGACUAGCGCCUGGAAAAUGGCAGCGUGUAGUGGUUGACUCAGGCUGGUCCUAUACAAGAAGCCCUUUCAUCCCGCUAUUGAUGUGCCCUUGGUCCCUGCUCCCAUCAGUGGGGUUUCAACCUGGGUGCAGUGUGGACAAAUGCGCUGGCAGAGUGGUGGUCCUUUGUGGCCACAGCAUUGCUUGAUCACACGAACUUCUGACCUAUCAGCCUUGAUGGUGUGGUAGUGGCCCACCAUGGCAGUGACGGGUAACGGAGAAUCAGGGUUCGAUUCCGGAGAGGGAGCCUGAGAGAUGGCUACCACUUCUAAGGAGGGCAGCAGGCACGCAAAUUGCCCAAUGCUCAGACGUUUCAUGGUGAGGCAGCGACGAACUGCAGCAAUGUGGCCUGUCCCCCGAGACUGGCCACACUUGUAAUGGAUGCAAUCCAAACACAGUGAUGAGUAUCAACUGGAGGGCAAGUCUGGUGCCAGCAGCUGCGGUAAUUCCAGCUCCAAGCGCGUAUACUAACAUUGCUGCUGUUAAAACACUUGUAGUCCGUUGCUGGGUUGCAGGUCUGCUGGGUGGCGGUGGCCUGGUGGUUGGGGUCCGUGCGCUGUGCAGUGCUCUCUGGGUGCUGUCAGUGCAUUGUUUGCCCAGCUGCCAGUGUCCAUCGAUACAACCCCUGGCAGUAUGUCCCUGCACCCGUUCUGUGCAUGGAUGGUGAGAAUUGCUCCUGCUCCAAGUCCCCUUCAGUGGGGAUCGAUGCGGUUUCAUACCCAACGCUUGUGUGUCUGACAUCAACGGAGGACGUGGCCUCAGUGCUGCGUAUUCCCCUCCUAGUCCACCACUGGAGUCCACCAUCACUUGUCACCGUGGAAAACUCAGUGUGCCCAACGCAUCCACUCUUGGCAGGAUGCCCGUCCAUGGAAUGUCAGAGCAUCGACCAGCUAUGUUUGGCUUCAGAGUUGUGCUGGGUCUUGGUGCCCAUGCUGGGGAACGUGGCAUUGGCCAUGGUCAUGCAGACACUGUGCUGGUAUAUGUGUACUGCCUGUGGUCGUACCAUGCAACAAACCUCUGCUUCAUGCAGAGGGCAUGUGUGCUACAUGGGACAGUGCUCUGUGCCAGUCACAGUGCAUCUCCACCUGCAUGGCCUGACCUUUGUCGAUCGUCCAUGAGGGAGCUGCUAUUCGGGGUGGAAGAUAUUGCAACGCCAGAGGUGAAAUUCUUAGACCGCUGCAAGAUCAACUGCAGCGAAGGCGUUCUGCAAGUGCAUGCUCGUCGAUCAAGAAUGAGAGUGUGGGGAGCGAAGAUGAUCAGACACCGUCGUAGUCCACAACUGUAAACCAUGCCAGCUCGGUGUUGGCAGUGCAAGCUACAUGGAACACUGCCAGCACCACUCCCCCUACCACGAGAAAUCCAAGCCUUUGGGUUCAGGGGGGAGUACUGUCGCAAGGCUGAAACUUAAAGGAAUUGACGGAAUGGCACCACAAGGCGUGGAGUAUGCGGCUUAAUUUGACUCAACACGGGGAAUGUUACCAGGUCAGGACGUUGCAGGGAUGGACAGAUUGAGAGCUCUUUCUUGAUCCUUCGGAUGGUGGUGCAUGGCCGCUCCUGAUUGGUGGAGUGAUUUGUCUGGUUGAUUCCGAUAACGAGUGAGACAUCUGCCUCCCAAUAGCCCCAGCCUCGCACAUGGUAGGGUUGGGCUGUGGUGACUUGCCGUGGGCCUUGGCUCCCACAGUGCAGGUGCCUCUCAGUCCUCGUGGCUGUCUGGUGUCCUGUUGCUGUGUGGUUGUCUUUGGUCUCUUGGCCACUGCAGUCCUCCUGAGAGGCUUGUAUGGAUUCAGCUUCUCUGAGGUGCUGUGUACGCUGCCAAGUGCAUGCAUGCUAGAGCCAACAGCAGGUCUGUGAUGCUCCCAGAUGUCCUGGGCCGCACGCGCACUACAUUGGCCCGGUGAAUGUGUUGUUACUCUCUCCCUUGUGGAGACCUGCCUGGAAGUGGGUGGGAAACCCCUGAAGACCGUUCUGUGUCCUCUCAUGGUGCUUCUGUGGCCGUACUGGGGAUAGAUGAUUGCAACUGUCUGCCUUGAACGAGGAAUGCCUAGUAGGCGUGGGUCAUCAGCCCACACCGAUUGUGUCCCUGCCAUUUGUACACACCGCCCGUCGUUGCUACCGAUGGUAGCAGGAUAGAGCCAUCCAGAGGCCCUUGGCUACUCUCUGAGUAACUGGGCUGAAAUUGGGCAAUGUCCUGCUGCUAGAGGAAGCAA
rnacentral:rRNA from 1 species